rnacentral:lncRNA from 10 species
CAAAAAUUAGCCAGGCAUGGUGGCGAGCGCCUGUAAUCCCAGCUACUUGGGAGGCUGAGGCAGGAGAAUUGUUUGAACCCGGGAGGCGGAGGUUGCAGUGAGCCAAGAUUGCACUCCAGCCUGGAUGACAAGAGUGAAACUCUGUCUCAAAAAAAAAAAAAAAAAAAGGUCCUAAAAAGACCAACAAAAUUCACAAACCUUUAGCUAGACUGACUAAGAUAAAAGAAGAAAAGACUCAAAUUACUAAAAUCAAGAAUAAAAGAGAAGGCAUUAAUGCCAACCUUACAGAAAUAAAAGGAAUUAUAAGGCAAUACUGUGAACAACCGUAUGUCCACUAAUUCAAUAAUUUAGAUUAAAUGCAUAAAUUCCUAGAAAUAUAAAAACUACUGAAACUGACUCAAGAAAAAUGAGAAAAUCUGGCCAAGUGGGGUGGCUCACACUUGUAAUCCCAGAACUUCGGGAGGCCAAGGCAGGUGGAUCACAAGGUCAGGAGAUCAAGACCAGCCUGGCCAACACGGUGAAACCCCGUCUCUACUAAAAAUACAAAAAUUAGCCAGGCAUGGUGGCACGUGCCUGUAAUCCCAACUACUUGGGAGGCUGAGGCAGAAGAAUCGCUUGAACCUAGGAGGCGGAGGUUGCAGUGAGCCAAGGUCACUCCAUUACACUCUAGCCUGGACAACAAGAGUGAAACUGUCUCAAAAAAAAAAAAAAAAAAUUCAGUCUGGGCGCAGUGGCUCAUGCCUGUAAUCCCAGCACUUUGGGAGGCCAAGGUGGGCGGAUCACAAGGUCAAGACCAUCCUGGCCAACAUGGGGAAACCCCAUCUCUACUAAAAAUACAAAAAUUAGCUGGGUGUGGUGGCACGCGCCUGUAAUCCCAGCUACUCGGGGGGCUGAGGCAGGAGAAUCGCUUGAACCCGGGAGACGGAGGUUGCAGUGAGCUGAGUUUGUGCCACUGCACAAUCCAGCCUGGCGACAGUGGGAGACUUCAUCUCAAAAAAAAUAAAUAAAUAAAAUAAAUAAAUAAAUAGCAAGCAAAAAUUAGCCAGGCAUGGUGGGGCGAGUACUUCUAGUCCCAGUUACUCGGGAGGCUGAAGCAGGAGAAUCGCUUGAACCUGGGAGGCAGAGGUUGCAGUGAGCCAAGACUGCACCACUGCACUCCAGCUUGGGCGACAGAGUGAGACUCUGUCUCAAAAAAAAAAAAAGAAAAGAAAAGAAAAGAAAAUCGGCUGGGCGCAGUGGCUCACGCCUGUAAUCCCAGCACUUUGGGAGGCUGAGGCAGGUGGAUCAUGAGGUCAGGAGAUCGAGACCAUCCUGGCUAACACGGUGAAACUGUCUCUAUUGAAAAUACAAAAAAUUAGCCGGGCAUGGUAGCGGGCGUCUGUAGUCCCAGCUACUCGGGAGGCUGAGGCAGGAGAAUGGAGUGAACCCGGGAGGCGGAGCGUGCAGUGAGCCGAGAUAGCGCCACUGAGUCCAGCCUGGGUGAAAGAGCGAGAAUCCGUCUCAAAAAAAAAAAAAGGAAAGAAAAUCAAUUAAUGUAGUACACUACCUUGCCUUAAAGAAUGAAGGGGAGCUGGGCACGAUGGCUCACACCUGUAUUUCCAGGUACAUGGGAGGCUGAGGUGGGAGAAUUGCUUGAGCCCUGGAGUUGAAGGCUGCAGUGAGCUUUGAUUGCACCACUGCACUCCAGCCUGGGUGACAGAGCAAAACCCUGUAUCUAAAACAAAAAACACAAAACCAAUGGUGAAAAGCUGAAAGCUUUUCCCCUAAGAUCAGGAACAAGACAGAGAUGCCCACUUUCACAGUUGUAUUCAACACAGUACUGGCAGUCCUAGCCAGAGAAAUUAGGCAAGAAAAAGAAAAGGCAUCCAAAUUGGAAAGGAAGAAAUAGAACGAUCUCUAUUUGCAGAUGACAUUAUCACAUAUAUAGAAAAUCCCAAAUAAUCCACAGUAAACCCUUUUAUUUAUUUAUUUAUUUAGAGACCAAGGUCUCACUUUGUCCCCAAGACUGGAGUGCACCUGUGUGAUCAUAGCUCACUGUAGCUUCCAACUUCUGGGCUCAUGUGAUCCUCCUGCCUUUGCCUUCUGAGUAGCUGGGACUACAAUUAUGCGCCACCAUGCCUGGCUAAUUUUUAAAUCUUAUUUUUGUAUAGACAGGGCUUCACUAUAUUGCCCAGACUGGCAGAAAAGUUUUUUUUAAUUACUAGAGUUAAUAAAUGAAUUCAGUAAAGCAGCAGGGGACAAAGUCAACACACAAAGAACAAUUGUAUGUCUACUCACCAACAAUGAACAAUCAGAAAAAGAAAUUAAGAAAAUAAUUCUAUUUAUAAUAGUAUCAAAAAUAAUAAAAUACCUAGGGAUAAAUUUAACCAAGGAGGCAAAAGACUUAUACACUAAGUUUCAUUUAAAUAGGACAGUGAAUGUAAAAGUGUGAUUAGCACAGGGCCUGACCCAAAAUAGAUGCUUAAUGCCUAUUCUCAUCAGAGACACUGCUGAACGCCAUAGAAAGGACAGAGUCGGCUACACCGACAGGGACAAAGUUCCUUUGGAAGUCUGGCAGCCCUGCUCCUUCCUAGGGAUAGAGUUUUGCUUAGCUUUGCGGAGUGAUCAGCAAGAACACCCUUAAGUUUAUGAAAAGAGUCUGUGGAGUUAUUUGCAGAGAAAAUAGUAAGGGAUAAGCUAGGAAGAAAAUAAGGGAGAAACUAGAAGAUACCAAUAAAUCAGGAAUGUGGACGGCAGCUUUAAAAAGGCAAGGAACAGGCCUGACAUGGUGGGUUCACGCCUGUAAUCCUAGCACUUUGGGAGGCCGAGGUGGGAAGAUUGCUUGAGGCCAGGAGUUCAAGACUAGCCUGGGCAACAUAGCAAGACCUUGUCUCUACAAAAGAAAAAAAAAUGUUUUAAAAAAAUUGUAAAGGGGAAAAAAAAAAAAGCAAGGAACACAGGCUGAGUCCCAGGUACAAGAGAGCGACAGAUGGGCUGCGGUCUGCGAUAUGCCCCAGAGUAUAAUCUGCCAAAAGUCCGUGGACAAUUCCAGCUGAGGAGGAAGCUUCUAGGUCCUCCCAAGCCAGUCCCUUUCCCCCUAAUCUGCCCACCCUUGGCAUGAAUGGCUAAGUAGCUCACAGGGGAGGGAUUGACCUGGGCUUCUCGCUUGUUUUAAAAUCCUCCUUAAAGCCAAGGGAUUCUUUUGUUCAGUCUGCUUCUCUGGAAAGGGAAAAUCUCUUCUGGAGGGUGACAGGCUCUGAUAUCCCCUGUCUAAGAAGCAAAGCCUCUUCCCAGCCCUCACAAGCCCUCUUUGAAAUCUUGUCCCGGCUUCUGGAGAUGAGCUUUUGUGCUGAGUCAGUUUGGCUGCCUUCCAGCCAAGAACAGAGAAGUGCAGGCUGCAAUGCAGGGGCCAUUAAACUAUUUUUAGGCUCUAUUUCAAUCUUAUUCAGCACAGGCGGUGAGACACAAGGCCUGAAGGUGGACAGACCAGGGGGAUGCCGCCUGGGACAAAGUCCCAGGCAAGUAGGUCAGGGAAAAGACAAGGAGAUCUCGCUAUGUGGAGAGAAAUACUUAGCCAGGUUUUCAUCCGUAAAAUGAACGGCCCUGCUAGGGGCAGGAAUUUAUUACUUAGCUCUUACUCUUAAAAUCCUUAUCCCUGGGAUACUCAGUGGUCGGCAGAGAGACCUGGAGGAAUAGCUUUUAUACUGGAGGUCUGCAUUAUCCAUGGAAAAUCAGUAAAAGUCCACUUAGGGGGAAUAUGCUUAUGAUGGGAACCAAGCUUAACAGCAUGUUGUGGGGGGAUAAAGUUUCAUCAGGACAAUCACAAAAAAUAAAAUGUGUUUCCUCUUGGAGUUAGCAAACUAUAUCUGCAACUAUGUAAUAAUUCUCAAAUAUUUUUACAUUUCUACAUCUUUUUUUUUUUUUCCAAGACGGAGUCUUGCUCUGUUGUCCAGAUGGUGCAGUGGCACCAUCUCGGCUCAGUGCAACCUCCGCCUCGG